AUUCACCAUCACAUUUUCAACCAUCACCAUAAAUCAACCAUUUCAAUCAAAAUUCCACGUUGAAAUAACAUCUUCUGCUAUCUGGGUACCUGCCUUUCAGUUUGAGGGGGCAUUGUUUUGUAUUUGUUUCCACACGGCACAACUUAGCGACACACCACCUGGCAGAGCAUGGCAAGGGAGAAACAACACGGUCGGUUGUCUCCACACUCGGUAAAGUUGAUUUAAGAUAAAGAGUUAAGACAUUACAUGUAAACAAAGAAGACGAAGACAGAAGAAAAUACAAGAUUCAGCCCUUUUGGUAGUGUGCAGCCUACGAGUUCUCACGGGUCGGUCGGUGACUGUGAAUAAACCCUGUUCUUAAA